rnacentral:rRNA from 1 species
AGCGAACGCUGGCGGCAGGCUUAACACAUGCAAGUCGAGCGGGCCCUUUCGGGGGUCAGCGGCAGACGGGUGAGUAACACGUGGGAACGUGCCCUUCGGUUCGGAAUAACUCAGGGAAACUUGAGCUAAUACCGGAUACGCCCUUAUGGGGAAAGGUUUACCGCCGAAGGAUCGGCCCGCGUCUGAUUAGCUAGUUGGUGGGGUAACGGCCUACCAAGGCGACGAUCAGUAGCUGGUCUGAGAGGAUGAUCAGCCACACUGGGACUGAGACACGGCCCAGACUCCUACGGGAGGCAGCAGUGGGGAAUAUUGGACAAUGGGCGCAAGCCUGAUCCAGCCAUGCCGCGUGAGUGAUGAAGGCCUUAGGGUUGUAAAGCUCUUUUGUCCGGGACGAUAAUGACGGUACCGGAAGAAUAAGCCCCGGCUAACUUCGUGCCAGCCGCCGCGGUAA